UAUAACGUUUCAGAUGUUUGUUUCAGGCAUGAGCGAGGCAGCAAAAAGCGCGAGGGGUCUCGUAACGGCUGGACUGCAAGGUGGAGAGACGAAUCUUCAAACUUAAAGGCACGAGACAGCAGAGAUUGCAACUCUAACCUGAUAGGACUGGUGGUGUGAGACAAAUGAGAAAAGAUUAUUUUUAGGUGAAAUCCUCAAUGCAACUCAGUGGAUGCUGAGUAUGGACGGUCAGGUGGUUGUGAAUCCACACCCCAACCUUGUGGCUGGAUUUGCAGCUUUGUUCGCAUCAUACUACAACUUCAACCUGGUUUACCAGAGGGAGGCAUCCUCCACACUUGAAUUUGUUCAAAGAUGUUUUGUUGGAAUCACAGCUACCACUGGCAUCAAGACAGCAUCAAGAGGCAAAAAAGUGGAAACGCCUCUGAGAAGAGAAACAACACCAUCAACCCUCAUGUGUGUACUCUUUUCAGAAAAUUAUUGGACUUUGAAUGGUUACGCAUGUAAGUUCUUGUUCAUGUAUAAAGACCAAAACAUGUUGUAAAUAGGCCAGUUCUGUGAUUGAACACUUGUGUUUCUAGACAUACAAGUUAUGUCAUGUUCUAACACAGAUUCAACAAGAUCUUAAAUGUAACACAAACCGUGUUUAGAUGUUUUAUAGAUGCCAUUGUUUUGGAAUAUUCAGGAUUGAGUGGAAUAGUUGCUGAAACAACAUCAUUUUUUUGAAAGUACUUUGCUGUCAGUUUUAAUAAAUGUUGUUCUUGAAGCACCUCUGACUUU